rnacentral:rRNA from 1 species
CCGGCGCACGGGUGAGUAACGCGUAUGCAACUUACCUAGUCAGAGGUGGAUAACCCGGCGAAAGCCGGACUAAUACCGCAUGAAGCAGGGGCCCCGCAUGGGGAUAUUUGCUAAAGAUUCAUCGCUGAUAGAUAGGCAUGCGUUCCAUUAGGCAGUUGGCGGGGUAACGGCCCACCAAACCUUCGAUGGAUAGGGGUUCUGAGAGGAAGGUCCCCCACAUUGGAACUGAGACACGGUCCAA